rnacentral:misc_RNA from 2 species
AACGCACCUUGCACUCUUUGGUAUUCCGAAGAGUAUGUCUGUUUGAGUGUCGUGAAACUCUCAACCCCCCCUUUUUGUAACGAGAUGGGCGUGGGCUUGGAUUAUGGCUGUCUGUCGGUUCUAAUCGAAUCGGCUCGGCUGAAAUACAUGAGCGGACCACACUGAAUACAGUGACGGCUUGACUCGGCGUAAUAAUCUUUUCGCUGAGGACGUCCAUUUUUUCAGAUAGGCGCUUCUAAUGCUACAAAUCUUUUUAAGCUUUAGACCUCAAAUCAGUCAGGACUACCCGCUGAACUUAA